UUUAUUUCUUCUCUAUUUGCAGAUGCCUAUAACUUUGAUACUUCUAAACGUUGAACCCUGUUCCACAUAUGAUCCAGCCAUCUUUAAAAUAGGUGACAGAUAUUGCAGAAUGUGUAGGCCUGGAUAUCAUGUACAUAGUCAUUGUACUACAUCUACAUUCACCUCCUGUGUGCCCUGUAUUGACUCCACCUUCCUUGAUGAGCCCAGUGGUAAAACAACAUGCAACAACUGUACCACAUGUGAUCCAGGUUUGGGUUUGAUGGUAAAGCAGCCAUGUAGACCUUCAUCAGACACUGUCUGUGGGACACUGGAGGGGUUCUACUGUCUAGACCCAACUAAGGAUGGUUGUAGAGCAGCCCAGAGACACAGCAGCUGUAAACCUGGUCAAUACAUCAGUCACACAGGAACAGCAUCUACAGAUACUGUGUGUUCUGACUGCACUGGUGAUACUUAUUCAGAUGGAUCAUUUACAUCCUGCCAGCCACACACACAGUGUAAAUCCUUAGGUCUUCAAGAACUAAGACCAGGAACUCAUUGGUCCAAUUCUGAAUGUGGACCACAAUCCUCAAGUAUAGAACCUGGAAUCACCAUUGGUGUUGUUGUGGCAUCAGUCCUAAUAGCUCCUAUAAUAAUAAUAAGAAGAAUAAUUGUAAUUCUAAGGAAGAAAAUAAGUCCAACAACAGUGACUUUUUCUCCAGUGACAGUAAAUGCUGUAGAGGCAUCAUCAUAUUUAGAGGAAACACCAAGCAAUGUAGUACAAUGAAACAGAAGAAAGUACAGCAUCUUGCAGGUGUUAGUUUUGUAAAUGAUUCAAGCUCUGACUGCACUCAUCAUUACAAAUGCUACCUGAGGU